rnacentral:lncRNA from 1 species
GUGUCUGACACAGGUUGGAUGCUUACUAAAGACAAUGAAUGAAUAGGACUGAGCUAAACACUAAAGAAAAAGAAGGAAAGUAUUCCAGAUGUGAGGAAACAGGAAAGGGACUGGUUAUUACAGUAUAAUUGCUCACAGAAGAUCCUCUGCAGUUUAGAAUGGUUCACCAAAAUUGAUUCGGAAAGGAUGUCAAGUCAUGGAAUAAAUUU